rnacentral:rRNA from 1 species
CCUACGGGUGGCUGCAGUGAGGAAUAUUGGUCAAUGGGCGAGAGCCUGAACCAGCCAAGUCGCGUGAAGGAUGACGGCCCUACGGGUUGUAAACUUCUUUUGUCAGGGAGCAAUUGAGUCCACGUGUGGGCUUAUCUAUAGUACCUGUAUAAAAAGCAUCGCCAAACUCCGUGCCAGCAGCCGCGUUAAUACGGAGGAUGCGACCUUUAUCCGGAUUUAUUGGGUUUAAAGGGUGCGUAGGCGGAAUAUCAAGUCAGCGGUAAAAAUUCGGGGCUCAACCCCGUCGUGCCGUUGAAACUGGUGUUCUUGAGUGGACGAGAAGUGUGCGGAAUGCGGGGUGUAGCGGUGAAAUGCAUAGAUAUCACGAAGAACUCCGAUUGCGAAGGCAGCAUACCGGCGCCCAACUGACGCUGAAGCACGAAAGCGUGGGUAUCGAACAGGAUUAGAUACCCCAGUAGUC